CUCUCUCUCUCUCUUGUUGGAGGAAUUCUAUACUACCACACUUACACCACAUCAUUAAUAACAAGUCAAUUACAUUUCUUUUUUUCAAACAAAAGUACAAUAAGAAUACUUUUUUAUAAUCAUGAUGGGACAUAUAUCUUUAAAAGUAGACUUUUGAUUGGUUUGUUACACCACGUCACCAAUAUACCCGUUGCAUUCUAGAAUUUUUCCUCUUGUGGAGGCCAAAGUUUUGUUUUU
rnacentral:lncRNA from 1 species